AGAGUUUGAUCCUGGCUCAGAAAUGAACGUUGGCGGCGUGGAUUAGGCAUGCAAGUCGAGCGAGAAUCGUAGCAAUACGAGGACAGCGGCGCAAGGGACAGUAAUGUGUAGAUCAUCUGCCCUCAGGUCCGGGAUAGCUGCGGGAAACUGCAGGUAAUACCGGAUAACAUCUCCGGAUCAAAGGUGUGAUUCCGCCUGAGGAUGAGUCUGCAUCCUAUUAGCUAGUUGGCAGGGUAACGGCCUACCAAGGCAUUGAUGGGUAGCGGGUGUGAGAGCACGACCCGCGUCAUUGGGACUGAGACACUGCCCAGACACCUACGGGUGGCUGCAGUCGAGAAUCUUCGGCAAUGGGCGCAAGCCUGACCGAGCGACGCCGCGUGUGGGAUGAAGGCCUUCGGGUUGUAAACCACUGUCAGAGGGGAUGAAAUGCAGGUGGGUUCUCCCAUCUGUUUGACAUAGCCUCAGAGGAAGGACGGGCUAAGUUCGUGCCAGCAGCCGCGGUAAGACGAACCGUCCAAACGUUAUUCGGAAUUACUGGGCUUAAAGGGUGCGUAGGCGGCGCGGAAAGUUGGGUGUGAAAUCCCUCGGCUCAACCGAGGAACUGCGCCCAAUACUACCGUGCUUGAGGGAGAUAGAGGUGAGCGGAACUUAGGGUGGAGCGGUGAAAUGCGUUGAUAUCCUAAGGAACACCGGUGGCGAAAGCGGCUCACUGGAUCUCUUCUGACGCUGAGGCACGAAAGCUAGGGUAGCGAACGGGAUUAGAUACCCUAGUAGUCC
rnacentral:rRNA from 1 species